GACGAACGCUGUCGGCGUGCUUAACACAUGCAAGUCGAACGGAAAGGCCCUGCUUUUGUGGGGUGCUCGAGUGGCGAACGGGUGAGUAACACGUGAGUAACCUGCCCUUGACUUUGGGAUAACUUCAGGAAACUGGGGCUAAUACCGGAUAGGAGCUCCUGCUGCAUGGUGGGGGUUGGAAAGUUUCGGCGGUUGGGGAUGGACUCGCGGCUUAUCAGCUUGUUGGUGGGGUAGUGGCUUACCAAGGCUUUGACGGGUAGCCGGCCUGAGAGGGUGACCGGCCACAUUGGGACUGAGAUACGGCCCAGACUCCUACGGGAGGCAGCAGUGGGGAAUAUUGCACAAUGGGCGGAAGCCUGAUGCAACAACGCCGCGUGCGGGAUGACAGCCUUCGGGUUGUAAACCGCUUUCGCCUGUGACGAAACGAGACUGACGGUAAUGGGUAAAGAAGCACAGGCUAACUACGUGCCAGCAGCCGCGGUGAUACGUAAGGUGCGAGCGUUGACCGGAUUCAUUGAGCGUAAAGGGCUCGAAAGUGGUUGAUCGCGUCGGAAGUGUAAUCUUGGGACUUAACCGUGAGCGUGCUUUCGAUACGGGUUGACUUGAGGAAGGUAGGGGAGAAUGGAAUUCCUGGUGGAGCGGUGGAAUGCGCAGAUAUCAGGAGGAACACCAGUGGCGAAGGCGGUUCUCUGGGCCUUUCCUGACGCUGAGGAGCGAAAGCGUGGGGAGCGAACAGGCUUAGAUACCCUGGUAGUCCACGCUGUAAACGGUGGGUACUAGGUGUGGGGUCCAUUCCACGGGUUCCGUGCCGUAGCUAACGCUUUAAGUACCCCGCCUGGGGAGUACGGCCGCAAGGCUAAAACUCAAAGGAAUUGACGGGGCCCCGCACAAGCGGCGGAGCAUGCGGAUUAAUUCGAUGCAACGCGUAGAACCUUACCUGGGUUUGACAUGGAUCGGGAGUGCUCAGAGAUGGGUGUGCCUCUUUUGGGGUCGGUUCACAGGUGGUGCAUGGCUGUCGUCAGCUCGUGUCGUGAGAUGUUGGGUUAAGUCCCGCAACGAGCGCAACCCUUGUUCACUGUCGCCAGCACGUUAUGGUGGGGACUCAGUGGAGACCGCCGGGGUCAACUCGGAGGAAGGUGGGGAUGACGUCAAGUCAUCAUGCCCCUUAUGUCCAGGGCUUCACGCAUGCUACAAUGGCUGGUACAGAGAGUGGCGAGCCUGUGAGGGUGAGCGAAUCUCGGAAAGCCGGUCUCAGUUCGGAUUGGGGUCUGCAACUCGACCUCAUGAAGUCGGAGUCGCUAGUAAUCGCAGAUCAGCAACGCUGCGGUGAAUACGUUCCCGGGGCU
rnacentral:rRNA from 1 species